GACGUAGGGUCCGAGCGUUGUCCGGAGUUACUGGGCGUAAAGGGCGCGUAGGCGGACAGUUUAGUCAGAGGUGAAAGCCCAGGGCUCAACCUUGGAAUUGCCUUUGAUACUGGCUGUCUUGAGUUCGGGAGAGGUGAGUGGAAUGCCGAGUGUAGAGGUGAAAUUCGUAGAUAUUCGGCGGAACACCAGUGGCGAAGGCGACUCACUGGCCCGAUACUGACGCUGAGGCGCGAAAGCGUGGGGAGCAAACAGG
rnacentral:rRNA from 1 species